UACAGAGGUGGCAAGCGUUGUUCGGAAUUACUGGGCGUAAAGGGCGCGUAGGCGGUCCCGUCAGUCCCUUGUGAAAUCCCCCGGCUCAACUGGGGAACUGCAAGGGAUACAGCGGGGCUUGAGUUCGGGAGAGGGGAGCGGAAUUCCGGGUGUAGCGGUGAAAUGCGUAGAUAUCCGGAGGAACACCAGUGGCGAAGGCGAGUCCCUGGACAACACCUGACACUGAGGCACGAAAGCUAGGGGAGCAAACAGG
rnacentral:rRNA from 1 species